AGAGAGAGAGAGAGAGAGAGAGAGAGAGAGAGAGAGAGAGAGAGAGAGAGAGAGAGAGAGAGAGAGAGAGAGAGAGAGAGAGAGAGAGAGAGAGAGAGAGAGAGAGAGAGAGAGAGAGAGAGAGAGAGAGACAGAGAGAGACAGAGAGAGAGAGGGAGUGUCAAACCUUUGAAAGGACGAGGGAGGAAAAAGACGAGUGACAUCUGACGUCUUGUCUUUUUUCUUAUUUGAAAGACCACUACUUCAUCCCGUGGAGCCUGAGUCCAUUUAUAAAGAACACAGUCCUUUCCGCCUGACUCACCUUCUCUUGUCUGCUUAUCUCUGUUUCUGUUUCGGGACCAGGCGGAGAUGAGCUGCAUCCCUGCCACACACAGUACGGUUCCUGUCGUAAAUCCAGCAGUGACCAAAAUGGAGGAGAUGCCAAGGAGGGGGAGCAGAGUGUACCAGCUCUUCCCAGAAUCCCCGGCGCUCACUGACUCGGACAGCGGCUCGUUCUCGGAGGAGAUGAACUACCACCGGGAGCGGCUGCCCUCCAUCGUGCUGGAGCCCACCGAGCAGAGCGAAGGGGAGGGGGAGGAGGAGGGCGCCCGCGACGGAGGGGAGAACACCCAGGAGGGGGACGCCUGCGGAGAUCAGGAGACAGGGGAGAGGCAGAAGGAGAUGGAGAGCUCUUCCGCUAGAAAGAGUUCCAUUGGUAGCUCUUCCACUAGAAAGAGUUCCAUUGGUCCGGUCCAGGAUCCGAUGUCCUCCUCUCGUCUGACUCCGCCCCCUUCACCCACGUCCCCCGAGACCGCCCCGCCCUGCCUGAGAAGUUAGAGGGAGGUGAGGCCGGAGGAGAAUGAUGACAUCAGUGUUCUGACAUCACUGCCCCUUCAUGGACUCUGUAUAGCCUUUGAAAUGUUGGAAGUGAUGUGGGGGGGAAGGAAAGGCUCAAGGCAGGUGUAAAUAUAAUGACCAAAUGUCUAAAUAGAAAUUUUAAAGAAAAAGUCCUUGUGGGGAUGUCUUGUAUAUAUUGUACACAAACACACACGCACAGACACACACAGAGACACACACACACACACGCACAGACACGCAGAGACACAAACACACACUCAGACACACACACACACACACACACACACACACACACACACACACACACACACACACACACACACACACACACACACACACACACACACACACACACACACACACACACACAAACACACACACGGCACGCACUGAUCACACACACAAACAGACACACAUAAGCACAUAAUUUUUUUAACUACAUUGUUGCUUUCUGACAAGAUGGAAAGAGGCUGUCACUACAAACCGACUUUCCAUUUAUUUAAUUAUUUAUUUUUCCCUCGUGACGCAAAUCCCAGACCUCACCAUCGGAGCACUUUGAAUGUCACAGCCUCGGUUUACCCAACAGCUCCAUGUCCCUCUCUGGUACGCCACCAUGUUGUUGCUGUUACUGAGGCAAUGGUCCACUCCAGCGAUGUCAUGGAGCACGGUGGAUGACACAAUAGGUGCUCAACAGAUCCACUCUCAGCUGCGGCAUUCGUGUUUUUAGUUGUUUUCUUUUUCUACAGUAGGUACAGGUCAGGUAGUAUUAUUGUAUUGUAUGGUGUGAUGUGCUAGUGUGCCGAGAGUAUGUAUUUAAAGUGAACAUUUUCCUUGAUGGUCAUUUCAUGAGGGACAAAUUAGGAAAAUUGCAAGGGUAUUAGCUGGUGUGUGGUGAGCGUUCUGGUGCAUAUUGGCUGCCGUGCAUCACCCAAGUGGGUGCUUCACACUGGUGGUGGUGAGUGAGGUCCCCCCCUUCACUGUAAAGCGUCUUUGAGAGUCUAGAAAAGCGCUAUAUAAAUUCAAUCAAUUAUUAUUAUUAUUAUUAUUAUUAUUAUUAUUAAUACUAUUAUUAAACAAAAACUAUUAAUGAACACUUGUAUUCCUUAUCUAUUACUAUACAUAUAUAGAGAGAUUUCCCUGCCAGUACAGCUACAGGUAAAACCUCUCUUUCCACCACCAUGCACAGACAUUCAUACUUUGGUGGUGGUGUUAUUUACACAAGACAAAAACGUGUCCUCAAAGGCAGAUGACCCUACAGCUGCAAGAUGAUCUAGUCUACCUUCUGAUCUGCACACAGGACCCAUCAGCACCACGUAACUCUUUUGUUGUUAUAUUUUUCCUUUGAGGGUCAUGUGUAGGGUUCAGGUCAUGUAUAGGAGACCUUUUUAAGGCAACAUGUUUAUGAUGAAUAUAUUUGGAACUUUAAUUAUGCCGCUGCACUUUAACCCCUCUCUGUUAAAAAUGUUUAAAUAAAAUUAAAAGCAAAUGUGUUUCAAACUGAACAUGUCUCCGCAUCGCAUAUCUUUUCAAAACUAUAAGUUUUCUUCUUUUAAGUCUUUUUGGAUAAUUAAAACAUCGAAAUCUGAGGUAUGAUUAUUUAUUUAUUUUAAGGCGAGACACGGCAGGCAAAAUCAUCGAUUUUUCAGUCACUGGUCAAUUUUGAUAUUUUGGGCUAUUUUGCACCAUUAACAUGUAAUGUUUCGCACAAAAGAAAAAAAAAAGUCAAAACGAAAC
ensembl:lncRNA